GAUCAUGGCUCAGAUUGAACGCUGCGGCAUGCCUUACACAUGCAAGUCGAACGGCAGCACGGGUGCUUGCACCUGGUGGCGAGUGGCGAACGGGUGAGUAAUAUAUCGGAACGUGCCCAAUCGUGGGGGAUAACGCAGCGAAAGCUGUGCUAAUACCGCAUACGAUCUACGGAUGAAAGCGGGGGAUCGCAAGACCUCGCGCUAUUGGAGCGGCCGAUAUCAGAUUAGCUAGUUGGUGGGGUAAAGGCCUACCAAGGCGACGAUCUGUAGCUGGUCUGAGAGGACGACCAGCCACACUGGGACUGAGACACGGCCCAGACUCCUACGGGAGGCAGCAGUGGGGAAUAUUGGGCAAUGGAGGAAACUCUGACCCAGCGACGCCGCGUGCGGGAUGAAGGCCUUCGGGUUGUAAACCGCUUUCAGUAGGGAAGAAGCGAAAGUGACGGUACCUACAAAAGAAGCACCGGCUAACUAUGUG
rnacentral:rRNA from 1 species